rnacentral:rRNA from 1 species
GACGAACGCUGGCGGCGUGCUUAACACAUGCAAGUCGUACGGUAAGGCCCUUUCGGGGGUACACGAGUGGCGAACGGGUGAGUAACACGUGAGUAACCUGCCCACAACUUUGGGAUAACGCUAGGAAACUGGUGCUAAUACUGGAUAUGUGCUCCUGCUGCAUGGUGGGGGUUGGAAAGCUCCGGCGGUUGUGGAUGGACUCGCGGCCUAUCAGCUUGUUGGUGGGGUAGUGGCCUACCAAGGCGGCGACGGGUAGCCGGCCUGAGAGGGUGACCGGCCACAUUGGGACUGAGAUACGGCCCAGACGCCUACGGGAGGCAGCAGUGGGGAAUAUUGCACAAUGGGCGCAAGCCUGAUGCAGCAACGCCGCGUGCGGGAUGACGGCCUUCGGGUUGUAAAACGCUUUCAGCAGGGACGAAGCUUUUUGUGACGGUACCUGCAGAAGAAGCACCGGCUAACUACGUG